CAGCCGCCGCGGUAAUACGUAGGGUGCAAGCGUUAAUCGGAAUUACUGGGCGUAAAGCGCACGCAGGCGGUUUGUUAAGUCAGAUGUGAAAUCCCCGAGCUUAACUUGGGAACUGCAUUUGAAACUGGCAAGCUAGAGUCUUGUAGAGGGGGGUAGAAUUCCAGGUGUAGCGGUGAAAUGCGUAGAGAUCUGGAGGAAUACCGGUGGCGAAGGCGGCCCCCUGGACAAAGACUGACGCUCAGGUGCGAAAGCGUGGGGAGCAAACAGGAUUAGAUACCCCGGUAGUCCCUGUCUCUUAUAC
rnacentral:rRNA from 1 species